AACGAAUUAUUCCCAUAGCUUGCUAUGAGAAUAAUUAGUGGCAGACGGGUGAGUAAUGCAUAGGAAUCUACCUAGUAGUAUAGGAUAGCCACUAGAAGUGGUGGGUAAUACUGUAUAAUCCCUGCGGGGGAAAGAUUUAUCGCUACAUGAUGAGCCUAUGUUAGAUUAGCUAGUUGGUAGGGUAAAGGCCUACCAAGGCAGUGAUCUAUAGCUGGUCUGAGAGGAUGAUCAGCCACACUGGAACUGAGACACGGUCCAGACUCCUACGGGAGGCAGCAGUGGGGAAUAUUGGACAAUGGGCGCAAGCCUGAUCCAGCUAUGCCGCGUGAGUGAGGAAGGCCUUAGGGUUGUAAAGCUCUUUCAGUGGGGAAGAUAAUGACGGUACCCACAGAAGAAGUCCCGGCAAACUCCGUGCCAGCAGCCGCGGUAAUACGGAGGGGGCAAGCGUUGUUCGGAAUUAUUGGGCGUAAAGGGCAUGUAGGUGGUCUAGUUAGUUAAAGGUGAAAUGCCAGGGCUUAACCCUGGAGCUGCUUUUAAUACUGCUAGACUGGAGUCCGGGAGAGGAU
rnacentral:rRNA from 1 species